rnacentral:rRNA from 1 species
GACGAACGCUGGCGGCGUGCCUAAUACAUGCAAGUAGAACGCACAGUUUAUACCGUAGCUUGCUACACCAUAGACUGUGAGUUGCGAACGGGUGAGUAACGCGUAGGUAACCUGCCUGGUAGCGGGGGAUAACUAUUGGAAACGAUAGCUAAUACCGCAUAAUAUUUAUUAUUGCAUGAUAAUUAAUUGAAAGGUGCAAUUGCACCACUACCAGAUGGACCUGCGUUGUAUUAGCUAGUAGGUGAGGUAACGGCUCACCUAGGCGACGAUACAUAGCCGACCUGAGAGGGUGAUCGGCCACACUGGGACUGAGACACGGCCCAGACUCCUACGGGAGGCAGCAGUAGGGAAUCUUCGGCAAUGGACGAAAGUCUGAACGAGCAACGCCGCGUGAGUGAAGAAGGUUUUCGGAUCGUAAAGCUCUGUUGUAAGAGAAGAACGGGUGUGAGAGUGGAAAGUUCACACUGUGACGGUAUCUGACCAGAAAGGGACGGCUAACUACGUG